CAGUGUGUGAGCAUGCAAGGGGCUGAGGGGCGUUUUUGGGGCCUUACUGCUCCUGUUGACUCAUAAAGUGCUUGUUUGCAUUUGCCAGGUUUCAAACUAUUCUUCAAUGUGUUGUCAUAUGAAAAACAGGCAGGAAUAUGUGUAAUGGUUGCUUAACCCAUUGCAUUUACAGGUAACUCAGCACAAGAGGGAUGUUUUUGCUGUCGGCCUCAUUUAGGCUCAGGGAACACCAGGUUCCUUUCAUUUUCACAAAUACAGAUUUCAGGAGUAAUGCAACCAAGUGUAAAGUGAUGCUAGCUGUGUUUUCAAUUUAUAGACACAUAUUUUUAAGUGUGUGUUUAGACUUGUAAAAAUCAAGUGCAAGAGUUAUCACAUUCAGAAAUUAAAACUCUUGCAGCCAUAAUUCACAUCUCUGGAUAUGGAAGUAGCUUUCUGGUCCCAUCAGCAGUGUCCCCUCCCCCUUGGUCAGUGUGCAGCAUGCUUAGUGUUCAGCUGGUGAUAAACUUGUUGGUUUCUUCUAUUUAUUUAUUUUUAUUUUUACUUUUUAAAUGAAUGAAUAUAUUAUGAAUGUGCUCUCAUUCUAUGCUGCUCUGAAGACAGAAUUGUUCUUUUUGUGUACUGUUAAUGCUUGUGAAGUCUCAGAGCAAGUGCAUGCAGCCUGCAUUGCUCACAUCUUACAGGUGGAAAAUGGAGUACAGAGGUAACAAGGUAAAUAUGCUUGGAAGUGUUGGGUGUCUAGAUUGCACUCAAGGGCUUUUUCUUUCUUUCUUUUUUUUUUUUUCUUCUUGGAGUUCUUUGUUAUAAGUUAGUCAUUCAAAGCAUGUAUUUGUUUGUCAUCACUUACAGCUCCUGUUGGUUCCUAUUUGUCAUCCACCCAGUGAAUUCUGCUCAUCUGAAUAUCAGCUCCCUCCUGAGCACUGGAAGAGUUAUAGCCCAUCUCUCUGGACUCCCCCAUCUUCUUUCUUCCUUGCUGUGCUGUUCUGUUUUCUUUACUACUAGAGUGCUUCAUGAGAGUACUUAGUAUCCAGCUCCUAAUCACCUUGUUCAGUGAGUUGUAGUCUUCCCACCUGGGUUUUAUCUAAUCUCCCUUUCAAAUUGACAUGUAUGUAUGUGCUGGCUUUCAGUUUCUGUGGUGUUUUCCCUCUCUUUCUAUGGUGUUUUCCCUGUCUUUCUAAGGUGGUUUCCCUCUCAGCCCUCAUCUGGGUCUGCCAGUGCUCUUGUGCUGCCUGCCAGCACAGAAUUUUCACUGCUCAUUAUUUCUUGAUUUAUUCUCACUGUCUGUUUGUUCCCUUCACAUUCAAAGCAGAUGGCUUGUCGCUUAUUUGCCUGGAGCUAGCAACAGUGGAGGGAACUGAGAAUGAGGAGAUAACAGGUUUCAGACUAGAAGCAUCAUAAAGAGAAGUGACAACAUUCUAGAACAAAAUGGUCACCUCUACCUGAGGGAUGCCUGUGGAAGAAGAAGGCUCAGGAGGGAAGAAGCAGUGUACUGUCUGCCAUCAUCAGCUGAAUUGGAGGGAGAAACAAGUGUGCUGCAAGCUCUUCUGGAGAAUGAACUGGGAUUACCUGUGUGCAGUCCCUGCAAGCCCAUUCAGGAGGAUGAAGAAAUGUAUGUAGAGUCCCCAGGAGCUGCUUCCUGUAGUGCAGCAUGAUACAGCACAAAGAAGCCAACCAAACAAGCAAGUAACGGACUGCAGAUUCCUAAUGGAAAGACCUAACAUGAUCAAAGAAUGUCAAGGACAGUGAUUUUAGACUUACAGUAGGACGGAGAUUAAUUGGACUAAUGUAAUUGUUAUGGCCUUUUGUUUUGAUGAAGGAGCACACCAGGCCAGAUUAUCACUGUUGACUUUAUGUCUGUGUUAGGUUUUUCAUCACUGAACUCAAGGGAGGAAUGCUGCUGUCAGCAGUGUCUUGCAGACCCGUGUCAUACAAGAAAUGGCAGGGCUUGAUUUUCAGGAAUUAGUUGCGAUUCUUCAGUGCAAGAGGGACCAUGAUUAUAAGGAUAUAUGUACAAAGGGAUUGCUCGGAAUCUUGCUGAAACUUUUACAGAAUCUGUUUCAAAUAAAGUUACCUUUUCUUUUCUUUUCUUUUCUUUUCUUUUCUUUUCUUUUCUUUUCUUUUCUUUUC